UAUUUACGCUAUCAUGGUGCAUGCAGUCCGAGAAACAAAACAUUACAAUUCAGGGAUAAAAGCAUCAUAAAUCAAGAUAAAACAUCAUAAUAUUAUAACUAUCGAAGAAGGCACAACUGGUUAGAUUUUGGUAGGCGACAACUCUGGUUACAAGACGUGAACUCAUGGAGAAAAUGUUCAAGUUUGUUCUGCUCAUCUGCCUUGGUUUUCUACCCGAUGUCGUCAGUAGCAUUGGUUUCCUUGAACUGGGU